rnacentral:rRNA from 1 species
GAAAGACAGAGCCUAGGCUUCGGCCAAAGCGCAGCGCCGGACAAUCUGCCAAGAAAACCCCGCCGACGUUCCCCGGCCGCCCGUACCGUAAACCGACACAGGUGGGUGGGUGUAAGUGCACCAAGGCGCGCGAGAGAAACCUCUCUAAGGAACUCGGCACAUUAGCCCCGUAACUUCGGGAGAAGGGGUGCCCACUUCGGUGGGUCUCAGUAAAUUGCGUUUAGCGACUGUUUAACAAAAACACAGCACUCUGCCAAGUCGUGAAGACGACGUAUAGGGUGUGACACGUGACCAAUGCGGAAAGAUCAAGGUAAGUUGUCAGCCGCAAGGCGAAGCUACGAGCCCAAGUCCCCGUGAAUGUCGGCCGUAACUAUAACGGUCCUAAGGUAGCGAAAUUCCUUGUCGGGUAAGUUCCGACCUGCACGAAUCGUGUAACGACUGAACGACUGUCUCGGAAUGAUCUCGGCGAAACUGUAAUUGCGGUGAAGAUGCCGCAUGCCCGCAGUAGGACGGAAAGACCCUAUGCACCUUCACUGUAAGCUGGCAUUGUGUUCUGAUUAUCGAUGCGUAGCGUAGGUGGGAGACUUUGAUCCGCAGGUUUCGGUCUGCGGGGAGUUGCAAUGUGAAACACCACUCUUCGUUAAUUAGAAUUCUAACCUCAUCCUGUCAUCCAGGUGAGGGACAGUGCUUGCCGGUCAGUUUGGCUGGGGCGGCUUCCUCCCAAAUCGUAACGGAGGAGCGCGAAGCUCGGCUCAGCACGGUUGGCAACCGUGCGACGAGGGUAUGGCUAGAAGCCGGGUUAACUGUGAGACCAACAAGUCAAGCAGAUGCGAAAGCAGGCCCAAAUGAUCCGAUGGUUUAAUGUGGAAUUGCCAUCGCUCAACGGACAAAAGGUACGCUAGGGAUAACAGGCUGAUCGGGCCCAAGAGUUCAUAUCGACGGCCCGGUUUGGCACCUCGAUGUCGGCUCAUCGCAUCCUGGGGCUGGAGAAGGUCCCAAGGGUCCGGCUGUUCGCCGGUUAAAGCGGUACGCGAGCUGGGUUCAGAACGUCGUGAGACAGUUCGGUCCUUAUCCACUGUGGGCGGAGGAAACUUGAGGGGUUCAUUCCUUAGUACGAGAGGACCGGGAAUGACGCACUUCUGGUGUGGCAGUUGUUCCGUCAGGGGCAUCGCUGCGUAGCCAUGUGCGGAAGGGAUAAGCGCUGAAAGCAUCUAAGUGCCAAGCCCAUCCCAAGAUAAGGUUUCCCUGGCCGCAAGGCCCUGAAGACUCCGGGUAGACUACCCGGUUGAUAGGUCAGGCGUGUAAGCGCUGCAAGGCGCUCAGCGGACUGAUACUAAUACGUCGUGAGGCUUGAUCGU